rnacentral:rRNA from 1 species
UACGAAGGGGCUAGCGUUGUUCGGAAUUACUGGGCGUAAAGCGCGCGCAGGCGGUCUUCCAAGUCAGUGGUGAAAGCCCGGAGCUCAACUCCGGAACUGCCAUUGAAACUGUGAGACUUGAGGAUGAGAGAGGUGAGUGGAAUUCCCAGUGUAGAGGUGAAAUUCGUAGAUAUUGGGAAGAACACCGGUGGCGAAGGCGGCUCACUGGCUCAUUUCUGACGCUCAGGCGCGACAGCGUGGGGAUCGAAACAGG